rnacentral:rRNA from 1 species
UGGGGAAUAUUGGACAAUGGGGGAAACCCUGAUCCAGCAAUGCCGCGUGAGUGAAGAAGGCCUUAGGGUUGUAAAGCUCUUUCGCCCGCGAAGAUAAUGACGGUAGCGGGAGAAGAAGCCCCGGCUAACUCCGUGCCAGCAGCCGCGGUAAUACGGAGGGGGCUAGCGUUGUUCGGAAUUACUGGGCGUAAAGCGUACGUAGGCGGAUGCGCAAGUUGGGGGUGAAAUCCCGGGGCUUAACCUCGGAAUUGCCCUCAGAACUGCACGUCUUGAGACCGAGAGAGGUAAGGGGAAUUCCUAGUGUAGAGGUGAAAUUCGUAGAUAUUAGGAAGAACACCAGUGGCGAAGGCGCCUUACUGGCUCGGUACUGACGCUGAGGUACGAAAGCGUGGGGAGCAAACA